UGAAAAGGUGGCUAGGGUUCCGGCUCCGCACAGCGGGGUGACUGGUCCGAGAGCUGCCGGCCCGAGUCGGCUGCAUACCGACACUGGCUCCACGGCGGGACAAAAGCCCGGGAGGU
rnacentral:sRNA from 2 species